AUAUAAUCACACAGGAUUACAUGAUUUAAUUCAAGAUUCUAUAUAGUAUUAUUUCUCGAAUCACUAUGCGCAAAAUUAUUACAAUUAAACCAAGCCUAAAGCCAUAUAUCAAUUUUGAUCUAAAGUGUGUUUCUUUAAUUGCUCUUCAUUCUAGAGAAGGAAUUGUAAAUCGAUCGUUUUAGAAAUGUUCUACUUUGAAUGAAAUGAAUAUGAAUAAUGUGCACAUAAUGUUACUUACUCUUAUAUCAGGUAUAGGCUUGUCUAAUUGAAGGCUAGCAAAUUCCUCAUAGUCCAUAAACAUGAUGCACGCAUUUUACGAUGAAUGCUGUUAACGGAUAUAACCCCAUUUAUUUGAAAGAAUUGAUCAGAACAGGAAACGCAUAUUCAGGUGAUAUCUCGCACGGAAGUAAAAAACACGAUCGUUCGCGAUGGAUUUCAAGAAUGAUUAUUGGAAUUCUACAUGUAGAUGCUCCUAUAGGAAAUUCUUGAAGAUGCAGGACGCAAGAAAUGAAUAUUACCGAACACACGCAAUUGUAUAAAAUAUGAAAUAUAUUUACUUUUCAUAGUAUGUCGUAUAAUUUAGAUAAUAUACGUACUUUACGGGCAUUGCAUAGAGUUUAUCAUAUACGUUUAACAAUAUAAAAGAUUACAGUUUACAUUAAUAUAUACAGAAGAGCGAAAGAUUUGGAUCAUAUUUGAACAGCGCCAUUGAACUUUCGCGUGUAUCUUAUAGUUUUAAGAUAAUCGCUUGUAUCCUCAUACGAAGCACAAUUAUAUGUUCUACAAUUUAUAUGUUCUAAGUUUAAAAAAUAUAAAACAAAAUGUGAUAAUUAUUAAUAACAGAGAGAGA